CCUACGGGGGGCAGCAGUGGGGGAUAUUGCACAAUGGGGGGAACCCUGAUGCAGCGACGCCGCGUGAGCGAAGAAGUACCUCGGUAUGUAAAGCUCUAUCAGCAGGGAAGAAAAUGACGGUACCUGACUAAGAAGCCCCGGCUAACUACGUGCCAGCAGCCGCGGUAAUACGUAGGGGGCAAGCGUUAUCCGGAUUUACUGGGUGUAAAGGGAGCGUAGACGGAUAAGCAAGUCUGAUGUGAAAAUCCGGGGCCCAACCCCGGAAUUGCAUUGGAAACUGCAUAUCUAGAGUGUCGGAGAGGCAA
rnacentral:rRNA from 1 species